UGACAGAAGAGAGAGAGCAU
rnacentral:miRNA from 1 species